CAUAUGGAAGUCCUGCCCUACUUAUUUCGUGUACGUGCCAAUCGAUUCCCUGAUGUUUUUUAUCCUAGUUUUGAGGUGAUAGAUGGAGGAUUUUGGGUAUACAUUGAGCAGUGUUAUGGAAAGUUCCUCGCCAAUCCAUCUAAGUUCCAAUUCUCAUAUGCAAUGCAAGAAUAUAUAUUGGGGAUUCGAAUGAAGGAGUCGAAGCCAUGGAAAUGCGUAAAUCAUUUGUUGAUUCCACUAAACAAGCGCAACAUACAUUGGCUGGUAGGGCACGUGGACUUGAAAGAGCAUCGUAUGACUGUAUAUGACUCAGAUAAGGCUGGCAACCGAAACAAGGGAGAAAUUUAUUUCCAGAAAUUAUGCAUAAUGUUACCAUAUUUACUGUGAUCUGCAUCCUUUUAUGAGCAGCGGCCGGAUCUUGUAGACUCCGUUGAUGAGUUUACAUGUGAAUUGGCACAAAA